rnacentral:tRNA from 1 species
GUGUAGCUCAGUGGUAAAGUGUUUGCCUUUCAAGCUUGAGGCCCUGGGUUCAAUCCUCAGCAC